rnacentral:misc_RNA from 1 species
GAACGCAACUUGCGCUCUCUGGUAUUCCGGAGAGCAUGCCUGUUUGAGUGUCAUGAAAUCUCAACCAUUAGGGUUUCUUAAUGGCUUGGAUUUGGAGGUUGCCAUUCUAAAUGGCUCCUCUUAAAGGAGUUAGCAAGUUUUACUAUUGCUAUCUGGCGUAAUAAGUUUCGCUGGAAUGGUAUUGUGAAGCGUGCUUCUAAUCGUCUUCGGACAAUUACUUUGACUCUGGCCUCAAAUCAGGUAGGACUACCCGCUGAACUUA